rnacentral:rRNA from 1 species
UGGGGAAUUUUGGACAAUGGGCGAAAGCCUGAUCCAGCAAUGCCGCGUGUGUGAAGAAGGCCUUCGGGUUGUAAAGCACUUUUGUCCGGAAAGAAAUCCUCUGGGUUAAUACCUCGGGGGGAUGACGGUACCGGAAGAAUAAGCACCGGCUAACUACGUGCCAGCAGCCGCGGUAAUACGUAGGGUGCAAGCGUUAAUCGGAAUUACUGGGCGUAAAGCGUGCGCAGGCGGUUUUGUAAGACGGAUGUGAAAUCCCCGGGCUUAACCUGGGAACUGCAUUCGUGACUGCAAGGCUAGAGUAUGGCAGAGGGGGGUAGAAUUCCACGUGUAGCAGUGAAAUGCGUAGAGAUGUGGAGGAAUACCGAUGGCGAAGGCAGCCCCCUGGGCCAAUACUGACGCUCAUGCACGAAAGCGUGGGGGAGCAAACAGGAUUAGAUACCCUGGUAGUCCACGCCCUAAACGAUGUCAACUAGUUGUUGGGGAUUCAUUUCCUUAGUAACGUAGCUAACGCGUGAAGUUGACCGCCUGGGGGAGUAC